GGUAGUAGGGCCUACCAAGGCGAUGAUGCAUAGCCCCGAGUUGAGAGACUGAUCGGGCCACAUUGGGGACUGAGACACGGGCCCAAAACUCCUACGGGGAGGCAGCAGUAGGGAAUCUUCCACAAUGGACGCAAGUCUGAUGGAGCAACGCCGCGUGAGUGAAGAAGGGUUUCGGCUCGUAAAGCUCUGUUGUUGGUGAAGAAGGACAGGGGUAGUAACUGACCUUUGUUUGACGGUAAUCAAUUAGAAAGUCACGGCUAACUACGUGCCAGCAGCCGCGGUAAU
rnacentral:rRNA from 1 species